AGGUAAACUUCAGUCAAGUGACACUCAAACAAUAUGGCCGCUUUAAAAUUAUUCUUCUUGACAAUUUUAACCUACGUCUACGUGUCAAACGGUGUUAUGAUCCGGAGACCGAAAGAACUGACAGGACCUGAACGAGAAGCUGCUGUAGAACAUUUAUAUACUGGUCUGCAUAAAGUUUCUAUUUCAGGUGGUCCAGUAUACAAAGUGUUGAGAGUUAAUAAGGUGACUAAUCAUGAAAUAAGUAGUAUUCCUUCAGACAAUAAUAGUUUCUCUGUGGAUACCUACGAUGUUGAUCUGGUUGUUGGAAGAGUUAUCAAGAAGUGUAUAGUCCAAAUCAUAAUCCAAAAUUAUCCGCCCACGACGGUCCGUAAUACCAUUUCGAUCCGGUGUAAUGGGAAACUGGAAUUUGAAAUUAACUAUUAAUCAGUCGUCGAAUGAAUUGAACUAUUGAACUAAUAUAUUUUUCCAUUUUGCGGUAUAUACGUUUUAAACUGCAAAAAAGGGUUUGGGUUUUUAAAACUUCACUACAGCAAUUUGUAUUUGCAAGAUUAAUAAUAAAAUUAGAUUCAGAAAAAGUGAAAAAGGUUCAGCUGUACUUGAUAUCUCGUGACAUAAAGCGAAUUAUUAUUUUUUCAGCUUCAUUUAUUAUACGGGAAUUUAUAAUUGAUCUUGCAUAGUUAUAAAUUAUUUAUUUACGCUUUAUGUAAAAUGUUUUAAAAUGCAUUCCUAUAUAAAGAAGAGUGUUUCCCAAGCAAACGUCAGUCAACUGACACUCCAGAAAUAUGGUCGCUAAUAAAUUUUUACUUUUGACAAUUUUAACCUACGUCUACGUGUCAAACGCUGAUAUUCUCCCGGAACCAAGCGAGCUGACAGGACCUGAACGAGAAGCUGCUAUUAAUAGAUUAUAUAUUGCACUGUAUGAAAUAUAUGUUGAUGAAGGUCCUGAAUACAGGGUGAUCAAAGUGAGUAAGAUUUUUAAUUUAAAAUCUCCUGGUUAUUCUGAGGAUACUUACGAUGUGGAUCUGGCUCUUGGAAGAAUUCCCAAGCAGUGUGUAGUCAAAAUGAGUAUCGAUACUCGAACGCCUUUGAGAAUAAUUAAAAAAAUUAAGAUCCUGUGUAAUGGUAAACUGGAAUUUCAGAAGAUCUAUUAAACCAGAAUAUUUGUCAUUUUUUUU